rfam:Gloeocapsa sp. PCC 73106 scaffold_00227, whole genome shotgun sequence.
AGGAGCCGGGUGAGGUGAAAGUCUCAAGCACGGUUCUGAAGACGAGUCGAACGGGUGACUGUUCGGCUUAGUUUAAC